GGCGUUCACCUGGACGUAAUCGCCGUCGACCAGAAAUAUGGCCGGGUAUUGGGCGAGAAACUUCUUCAGACCUGUCAAACGGCGGAGCAGAGGACGUCAAUUACAAUUAGGGUGGACCAUUAGCGGGUGCUCCGCCGGAGGCGGUGCGCCAAGACGCUUUCAACUCUCAACUUUAACUACUGGAUUGUGAAAACUUUCCUUCUAUCAGCGGGAAGCAUGUGCCUGGAUUCCCAUAAUUAACAACAUUGUUUAAUCGCAUAACCAUCAAAUGACGGGCUACAUUCAUCCGCAUGUGCCAUAUGUGGAUGUCUGCAUGAAUAACCAUGUGUGUUUUGUGCUGCCUGUUUCUAUGUUGUUGAUUUGGCUUGUAAAGUUGGCAAAAGUUUCUGGAUUCAAAGUUAGUUUACAAUUACAUGAAUGAGGCGAGCGACUGCCGGAGAUUCGACUCUGUGUGUAUGCACUGGAAUACUCCACAUUUAUUAAAGAUCUUUAUUAUAAAACCAAUUUUUUUCUCAUAUUAAAGCAUUUACAAG